rnacentral:misc_RNA from 1 species
AUCAGCCAUGUUUUGGGCACGCAUACCAGACUGUUAAAGAACAUGUAUUUUUUUGCAAACAAGAGAUUGAACAACCAUGGAUCCUCAUUCUAGUGCCCAGGAUGUGCACCGAUGUGACCUUUGUGAGACAGCCAUAGUACACAGCUACUGUGACUUUUGUCAUUUCAACCUCUGCAAGCCCUGUGUAGUAGAUCACAUCUCAGAUGGAUACGACAAACAUAAACUAGUCCCUUUCAAGGAACGAAGAUCAACCCUCAUUUAUCCAACAUGUGAAAAACAUCCACACAAGAAUUGUUAUUUUCAGUGUGAGGAUUGCGGAAACAUUUUUGUUUGUUCUUCCUGUACUGCAUCUAAGCAGCACAAGGGACAUAACUUUGUAGAAGUUACUGAAGUUUACAAUGCAAAGAAAGAAGUUCUUAAAAAAGAAACAAAAGACUUGAAGAAUCAUAUUUCCCCUAAGUAUGAAGAAAUUGCACGCGACUUGGAAAAUCAGCUUGCCAACCUGGAUGGAGGAUAUGAAAAACUUACGACAACAAUGUCCAAACAAGGAGAGCAAUGGCACAGAGAAAUCGACAUCAUCAUCAACAAAAUGAAAACUGAAAUCAGCCAGAUAAAAGUGAAACACAGAGACAUUUUACAGAAACACUUGAAUGAAAUCAAACAUAUACAGUCUCUCAUAAAACAAACAUUAAAAGCCAUAAGGAAAAUCGAGAAAUCCACUGAAGUAUCUCCAACAAUUGAAUACAGCUCUAAGAUCAGAGAAUUCAGCAAGCUUCCACCCAAGAUUCAGGUAUCACUGCCAACAUUCAUUCCAAAACCAAUAGACCGUGAGAAGCUGUAUACUUUGUUUGGACAGAUCACCCCAUUAUCUACUGCUACAGAAGAAAAUGUUUUGUCACUAAACCAACCCAAAACUUCAGUCAGAGAACUACUGGAUGAACCAGAGCUUGUUACCACAAUACAGACUGGGUAUAAACAACUAUACAAUGUUGCCUGUCUAAAUGAAGACAGGAUAUGGACGAGUGGAGAGACCAAUGAUAUCAAAUGCUUCAACAUUAAAGGUUCACUCGUACGGACAUUUAAAAUAAAAUCAAAGAAAUUACCUAAUGAUAUAACUGUAAACAGUGAUGGUAAUCUACUGUACUGUUAUGGGAAGGAUGGGACAGUGAACAUAGUAAAGAAUGGACAGACAGAAGAGUUGAUUAGAUUACCGGAGUGGACGCCUAAUAACCUGUGUGUCACCUCUACUGGUGAUCUCCUGCUUACCAUGUUCAGUAAUGAUGAAACUCAAUCCAAAGUUGUCCGUUACUUGGGUUCUACAGAGAAACAAACCAUUCAAUUUGAUGAAGAAGGUAAACCUCUGUUCUCAGGGAAUGAUUAUGAUAAAUGCAUCAGAGAGAACAGAAACCAUGACAUCUGUGUAGCUGACUGGGAGGCUGGAGCAGUAGUGGUGGUUAAUCAGGACGGCAAACUCAGAUGGAGAUACACCGGUCAUCCCUCAGUUACCAAGAACAAACCAUUUGAACCCACUGGUAUCACAACAGACGGUCAGAGUCGUAUCCUGACAGCAGACUUUAAAAACCAUUGUAUCCACAUUCUGGAUCAGAAUGGACAGUUUCUCCGUUACAUUGAUAACUGUGGUCUGGAGGAUCCUUAUGGUUUAUGUGUGGACAAAAAUGACAAUCUGUUUGUGUGCGAGUACGACAAAGGCAAUGUGAAGAAAAUUAAAUAUCUAAAGUAGACAUAAUCAAUUACAAAAAUGUGAUGAAAUUCAAACAAAAGUGGCCUUUUUCUGACGUGAAUAUUGACUUUCAUUGUUGGCAUUUUCUAUAAAAUAGAUUUAAACUCUGCUUUCCUUUAUAUACUGAUGGAUUAAUAAAUUCUAUUCUUUCAUUAUAUUAUUAAUUUUAUUUUCAAUAAAAAAAAUUAUCUCUACAUUGCAUCAUAUAAAGUAAGUAGCAUUUGAGCAUUGUUUGCAUGUUAUAUACAGCUGUUGUACCUUAUCAAAUAAAUUGACAAGUGUCAUGAU